rnacentral:rRNA from 1 species
GGAUUAGAUACCCUGGUAGUCCACGCCGUAAACGAUGUCAACUAGCUGUCUGAGAUUUCGGUUUUGGGUAGCGUAGCUAACGCGCUAAGUUGACCGCCUGGGGAGUACGGCCGCAAGGUUAAAACUCAAAUGAAUUGACGGGGGCCCGCACAAGCGGUGGAGCAUGUGGUUUAAUUCGAUGCAACGCGAAGAACCUUACCAUCCCUUGACAUCCAGAGAACUUUCUAGAGAUAGAUUGGUGCCUUCGGGAACUCUGAGACAGGUGCUGCAUGGCUGUCGUCAGCUCGUGCCG